AGCAGCCGCGGUAAUUCCAGCUCCAAUAGCGUAUAUUAAAGUUGUUGCAGUUAAAAAGCUCGUAGUUGAAUUUCGGGAUCAAUAUGUUGGUCGUGCCUUGGUACGUACUAAUUUAUUGGUUUCUUCCUUCUGACGAACCAUGAUGUCAUUAAUUUGGUGUCUUGGGGAAUCAGGACUGUUACUUUGAAAAAAUUAGAGUGUUUAAAGCAGGCUCACGCUUGAAUACAUUAGCAUGGAAUAAUGAAAUAGGAUGUUUGAUUCUAUUUUGUUGGUUUCUAGGAUCGACGUAAUGAUUAAUAGGGAUAGUUGGGGGCAUUAGUAUUCAAUUGUCAGAGGUGAAAUUCUUGGAUUUAUUGAAGACUAACUACUGCGAAAGCAUUUGCCAAGGAUGUUUUCAUUAAUCAAGAACGAAAGUUAGGGGAUCGAAGACGAUCAGAUACCGUCGUAGUCUUAACCAUAAACUAUGCCGACUAGGGAUCGGAUGAUGUUAAUUUUUAAUGACUCAUUCGGCGCCUUAAC
rnacentral:rRNA from 1 species